AUUUCAGUCCCAGAGGAAAGGUAUUACCAUUGCAAUGAGCUAGCAGAUGGAGAUUACGGGAACGUGAGUGGUGAGAGGUUAUCAAUCGACGAUGCAAACAAUGUUCAGCAUCUAGGAGCCCCAAUUUUGGCUUCAAAAUUUGCUGCAAAUACUAGAAGAGGGACUCAUCAGAAAGUUAAAGUUGAUUCUGCGUCCUCCAGCUUAAAGAUGCCCCAGUUGUUUAAGCUGGAGGACGCAG
rnacentral:misc_RNA from 1 species